AUAUAUCAUUAAAUUUAAAAUAUUUGGCUGUAUCUUAUAAUAUUAGAGGAAUCUGUUUAUUAAUUGAUAGUCCACGAUAAGAAAUACUUAUUAUUUAUGUAUUGCUGUUUUUAGAAUAUUAUUAAUUAAAUAUUUAAUUUUUUAAUUUAAUUUAUUUCAAGUCAAAAUAUAGUAUAAUUAAGUAAUGGAUUACAAUUUAAUUUUGAAAGUGGAUUUAAUAGUAA
rnacentral:rRNA from 1 species